CUUCUGGACCCCAAUGUCUCCUCCACCUGCACCUGCACCUGCACCGUGGUGCUGCCGCGAGGCCCAGAUGAGCUGGGAGCGCUCAGGCUGUCUAGACCCUGCUCCAGGCACGGGACCAGCUGUGCCGCUCACUGUUCACUCAACCUGGGUUUUCCGUCUAUGAAGUGGCGUA
rnacentral:miRNA from 1 species